UGUUUUUUUGAGGGGGCUGAAGACCUUGUUUUUUAACUUUUGGUUUGUCACACCAUUUCUCAGAAGAGCAAGAUGGCCAGGCACUCUGGUUUCCUCUUGCUGAUAGCACACUCUGUUGCUAUUUCAGAUGAGGGAUCCUAGAGGGAGUCCACAGUACAGCUCAUCACCCUCCUUGGGGAGGCCACCAGUGGAGCACCCUCCAGCCUUGGUGCCUCAGGAAGCCACGUCACUCAUUCAUUCUCCCCUCCUACUUUCCCCACCUCCACACAUUAAGUGGUUGUGGUUGAGUGUUUUAUUUGGUGUACAAUAUCUGGGUGGAAGAGAUAAGGAGCCUCUCUGAUCAGUGAGUUUCAUUUGGUAACACAUACAGUACAGCAAAUUUGGACAGCAGGGAAACCACGCUUAAAAUUGGCUACCCAAGGGUGCAGAAAUCCAGUGGAAGGAUGGGAAACUGUCAACCGAAAAUAAGGUGGAGGAUGAGCAUUCCUGUACGGAGGAAGAGAUACGCCAACAAGGAAACACAGACUGAGAGUUGCCCGCCGAGCCCUGCCCAGGAACGCUGUGACAAAAAAGGCUCUAUGAAUACCAGCGGAAUGUGGUAUUCUACUGUCAGCCACAAUGUCAAACUUGAACUCUGUGCAACUAACACCAAAACUCAGACAGAAUACGCAACUGUCAAAGUGCCUGACAGCAAGCAACGUACCACCUACUCUGAAGACCAGAAUACAUAUGAUUAUGUCCUGAUUCAUUAGGAAGGGAGCCUUUCUGCUCCAAUGGCACUCCUGGGAGCUACUUGAAUAUUUAAGCCAGCAGCACUCAACCUUCCUAAUCAUCCCAACUGUUGUGCUGACUCUUCAAACAAGCUGGAGAGCAUCUCUCUUAUGCUAUAAAGUUUAUGUCUUCCAGUCAGUCCCAAUGAGAUGAAUCUGAAAAAGUGAUCAUGGAAAGAAGCAUAGACAGGAUACAGGACUUAACAGUCAAAAGAAGAGGAAUCAGCAGUAGCUACCAUUGCAAAGCAAUGCUUCUCUGUAGCAAACUGAGCACUUUUUGCUAGAAGCAAUUGAGACUUCAUGACUUUUCCGGAUUUUCAGGAUUUUUACAGUGCCUUUUUUUU